GAAUAUUUUAGUUAUUUUUAAGCUCUUUCUUCCUUGUGUAGGCAAUAUGCCACAAGGAAGGCUACCUGCUGAUAGACCCGAUGAUGCCCCUACUAGGGAAGAGUUUUUCUGAGGUAGUUAGGGUUAUUCAGGGUUUGGCUCAUGUUGUGGAUUACCAGGUGCAUCUACAAUAGAAUGUUGAUCGUCAGAUCUUGUUGAUGAUCAUAUUGCUUAAAAUAAGACUAUUGCCAGUAGUAUUUUUAAGUUCCAAAAGCUUAAUCCGCCAAAAUUUGAUGGUCGUCCUGAUCCCAUAUUGGUAAAGCAAUGGCUCAUAUAAAUAGAGAAAAUAUUUUCUAUUUUGGAUAUGAUUCAAGAACAGAAUGUUUCCCUUGUUGCUUUUUUUCUUGUUUGUGAGGCUAAACAUUAGUUGCACCUCAAGUGUGAUACCUUACCUACU
rnacentral:lncRNA from 1 species